rnacentral:rRNA from 1 species
GUCGCACGGAAACCAGGGGCUUGCUCCUGGGGAUAGUGGCGCACGGGUGAGUAAUACGUAGAUAAUGUACCGUUUGGUGUGGAAUAACCGACCGAAAGGUUGGCUAAUACCGCAUAAGUUCCCUUGAGGUUCGCCGAUGGGGAAGAAAGCAGGGCAACUUGCGCCGAAUGAUCAGUCUGCGUCCCAUCAGCUAGUUGGUGAGGUAAUGGCUCACCAAGGCGACGACGGGUAGCUGGUCUGGGAGGAUGGUCAGCCCCACGGGGACUGAGACCCGUCCCAGACUCCUAUGGGAGGCAGCAGUGGGGAAUCGUGCGCGAUGGGCGAAGGCCUGACGCAGCCAUGCCGCGUGAAUGAUGAAGGUCUUAGGAUUGUAAAAUUCUUUUACCAGGGACGAUAAUGACGGUACCUGGAGAAAAAGCCCCGGCUAACUUCGUGCCAGCCGACGCUGUAACAC